GGCCCCUUAGCAUAGUCUGGCAACAACCUUUUGCGAAAAGCUUGGACAAAAGCGUGCGGCAUAAAGCCACACAGGUUGUUGGGCAAAUAGUGCUACCGGCUUCGGACCGGUGGACCUGGGUUCGAAACGACGAUUUCGCUCGUCGGCAACGAGGGACAGCAUAAAGCUGUCCGAAGAAAACGUACCGAAAGUCCCAGAGGGGUCA
rnacentral:tRNA from 1 species